rnacentral:rRNA from 1 species
GCAAUUUCAAAUAAGAGCAUAUGGUGGAUGCCUUGACACUAAAAGGCGAUAAAGGACGUUGUAGGGUGCGAUAAGCCUCGGUUAGGUCCCAAACAACCUUUGACCCGGGGAUUUCCGAAUGGGGGAACCCGUCCCGCUUAGCGGGACAUUACAUACUGAAUACAUAGGUGUGUAAAGCAAACCUGGUGAAGUGAAACAUCUCAGUAACCAGAGGACAAGAAAUCGAAGAGAUUCCCUUAGUAGUGGCGAGCGAAAAGGGAAAAGUCUAAACCGCAUAAAUGUUUUUGUAAAAACAGGUUGAUCGCAAGAUUUACUAUGAUUUGCAAAUUAAAGGCCAGGCCGUUGUUUAUGCGGGGUAAUAAGACACUGAUGUCAAUUACCUGUUAUAUUGAGUAGUCGUUUAAUUCUUAACAAAAUAAACUGGAAAGUUUAACCACAGAAGGUAAUAGUCCUGUAUGUGAAAAGUUUUAAACGGUUAUUGUUAGUGUUCUUGAGUAGGGCGGAACUCGUGAAAUUCCGUCUGAAUUCGGGCCGACUAUGGUCUAAGACUAAAUACUUUUAGUGAUCGAUAGUAAACAAGUACCAUGAGGGAAAGGUGAAAAGCAGCCCGGGAGGGCGAUGAAAUAGUAUCUGAAACCGUAUGCUUACAAAGAGCCAGAGCCGGUGUUAUACACUGAGGAAUUUUAAAAUUAAAUUUUAAUUUUUCAGUGUAUAACGUCGGUGAUGGUAUUCCUAUUGAAGAAUGAGCCUGCGAGUGUGUGUAUGUCGCGAGCUUAAGCCCUUAUGGGGCGUAGGCACAGCGAAAGCGAGUCUUAACGGGCGCCAUUAGUGGCAUAUACACGACCCGAAACCGGGUGAGCUAUCCAUGACCAGGAUGAAUCCUGUAGAAAUACAGGAGGAGGUCCGAACCCACGCGCCGUGCAACACGCGGGGAUGAGUUGUGGAUAGGAGAGAAAUUCUAAUCGAACUCGGUGAUAGCUGGUUCUCCUCGAAAUAGCUCUAGGGCUAGCCUUGAGUGUUUCUUUUGGUGGUAGAGCACUGGAUAAGAAUUGGGUCCUUCGGGAUACCGUUCUCAACCAAACUCCGAAUGCCAGAAGUUAAAAACUCAGGAGUCAGACAGUGACGGCUAAGCGCCAUUGUCAAAAGGGAAACAGCCCAUGAUCAUAAGCUAAGGCCCCUAAAUCCAUGUUAAGUGUAAAAGGUGGUUCUAAUUCUUAAACAACCAGGAUGUUGGCUUAGAAGCAGCCAUCAUUUAAAGAUAGCGUAACAGCUCACUGGUCAAGAGUUUUAGCGCCGAAAAUGUAUCGGGGCUCAAACAUGGUGCCGAAGCUAUGGACUGUUAUUUCCUUCGGGAAAUAACAUUGGUAGAGGAGCGUUCUUAACGCGCAGAAGCCAAAGACGUGAGUCAUGGUGGAGUGUUAAGAAGUGAGAAUGCAGGCAUAAGUAGCAAAAAGGCAUGUGGGAAUCAUGCCCGCCGCAAACCCAAGGUUUCCAGGGCAACGAGAAUCGUCCCUGGGUUAGUCGAUCCUAAGGCGAGGCCGAAAGGCGUAGUCGAUGGAAGAGCAGGUUAAUAUUCCUGCACUAUAUAUGGUUUGGUUUAGCUGCGCAUUAGAAAGCUUUGAGCGUGUUUUGAAUAUGCACGUUUCGCAAGAUGAAGAUGAAGCCUCCGGGUGGAAUCAACUCAAGGGGAUUUAGUGCCUAGAAAAGGCGAAAACCGCUAAGCUAUAUAUAACCGUACCGUAAACCGACACAGGUGGGUGAGUCGAGUAGACUAAGGCGUACGAGAGAACCCUUUGUUAAGGAACUCUGCAAAACAACGGCCGUAACUUCGGGAUAAGGCCUACCCCGUUUAUCGGGGUUACAAUAAAAGACACACUGCGACUGUUUACCAAAAACACAGCUCCCUGCAAAAGCGUAAGCUGAAGUAUAGGGGGUGAUGCCUGGCCAAUGUCAGAACGUUAAGGGGAGAGGUUAGCUCGCAAGGGCGAAGCCUUGAUCCGAAGCGCUGAUGAACGCCGGCGGUAACUAUAACCGUCCUAAGGUAGCGAAAUUCCUUGUCGGGUGAGUUCCGACCUGCACGAAUGGCAUAACGAUGGUGUGACUGUCUCAACAAGGGACUCGGUGAAAUUGCAAGGGAGGUGAAGAUGCCUCCUACCCGCAACUAGACGAAAAGACCCCGUGAAGCUUUACUACAAUUUGAUAUUGGUAUAAGGUUAUUUAUGUUCAGCGUAGGUGGGAGCCGCAAGGCGCCAAUGAGACACCACCCUUAAAUUAUUUUAUAUCUAAUUUUCUCCCUUGAAUCAGGGAGAGAAGACAGUGUCUGAUGGGUAGUUUAACUGGGGCGGUUGCCUCCUAAAAUGUAACGGAGGCGUUUACAAAGGUCAGCUUAGCUCGGAUGGAAAUCGAGCUGGACGCGCAAACGCAAAAGCUGGCUUUACUGCAAGGACAACGAUCCGAGCAGUCACGAAAGUGGAAGUUAGUGAACCGACCAUCCUAUAUAGGAAGGUGGAAGAUCAACGGAUAAAAGCUACUCCGGGGAUAACAGGCUGAUCGCGCCCAAUAGUCCACAUAGACGGCGCGGUUUGGCACCUCGAUGUCGGCUCAUCGCAUCCUGGGGCUGAAGAAGGUCCCAAGGGUUUGGCUGUUCGCCAAUUAAAGCGGUACGCGAGCUGGGUUCAGAACGUCGUGAGACAGUUCGGUCUCCUAUCUGUUGCGGGCGUAGAAUAUUGAGAAGUCUCAUUCCUAGUACGAGAGGACCGGAAUGAACGAACCUCUAGUGUACCAGUUGUUCCAUCAGGGGCAUUGCUGGGUAGCUAUGUUCGGUUAAGAUAAACGCUGAAAGCAUAUAAGCGUGAAGCUGUCUUCAAGAUUAAUAUUCGUUUAGACCCCUUGUAGAUUACGAGGUUGAUAGGCGCUAGGUGUAAGCAUGGCAACAUGUUAAGCCGAGGCGUACUAAUUGGUCAAGCGUACGACGAA